GUCCGGAAGAGGAUGGCCGUAAUAGGGAAUCCGGUGGGGGCUCUGAGUCCGAUUCCGGAGCUGUUCCCGCAGCUGUAAUCCCCAGCAAAGGCAUCUGUCAGAUAAAGGGUCACUGUCGCGAAGACGGGAAGGCCGACGGAUGUGGGGUAAGCCAGAAGACCUGCCUGCGUU
rnacentral:ncRNA from 1 species